UAUAUACUCCCUCCGUCCGGAAAUACUUGUCAUCAAAAUGGAUAAAAGGGAUGUAUCUAGAUGUAUUUUAGUUUUAGAUACAUCCCUUUUUGUCCAUUUUGAUGACAAGUAUUUUCGGAUGGAGGGAGUAUAAU
rfam:Triticum aestivum genome assembly, contig: Triticum_aestivum_CS42_TGACv1_scaffold_112973_2AS